rnacentral:rRNA from 1 species
UACAGAGGUCUCAAGCGUUGUUCGGAUUCAUUGGGCGUAAAGGGUGCGUAGGUGGCGGGGUAAGUCAGGUGUGAAAUCUCGGAGCUCAACUCCGAAACUGCACUUGAUACUGCCUUGCUCGAGUACUGGAGAGGAGAUUGGAAUUUACGGUGUAGCAGUGAAAUGCGUAGAUAUCGUAAGGAAGACCAGUGGCGAAGGCGAAUCUCUGGACAGUUACUGACACUGAGGCACGAAGGCCAGGGGGGCAAACGGG